rnacentral:rRNA from 1 species
ACGCUGGCGGCGUGCCUAAUACAUGCAAGUAGGACGCACAGUUUAUACCGUAGCUUGCUACACCAUAGACUGUGAGUUGCGAACGGGUGAGUAACGCGUAGGUAACCUACCUAUUAGAGGGGGAUAACUAUUGGAAACGAUAGCUAAUACCGCAUAACAGUAUGUAACACAUGUUAGAUGCUUGAAAGAUGCAAUUGCAUCGCUAGUAGAUGGACCUGCGUUGUAUUAGCUAGUAGGUAGGGUAAAGGCCUACCUAGGCAACGAUACAUAGCCGACCUGAGAGGGUGAUCGGCCACACUGGGACUGAGACACGGCCCAGACUCCUACGGGAGGCAGCAGUAGGGAAUCUUCGGCAAUGGGGGGAACCCUGACCGAGCAACGCCGCGUGAGUGAAGAAGGUUUUCGGAUCGUAAAGCUCUGUUGUUAAGGAAGAACGAGUGUGAGAAUGGAAAGUUCAUGCUGUGACGGUACUUAACCAGAAAGGGACGGCUAACUACGUGCCAGCAGCCGCGGUAAUACGUAGGUCCCGAGCGUUGUCCGGAUUUAUUGGGCGUAAAGCGAGCGCAGGCGGUUAGAAAAGUCUGAAGUGAAAGGCAGUGGCUCAACCAUUGUAGGCUUUGGAAACUGUUUAACUUGAGUGCAGAAGGGGAGAGUGGAAUUCCAUGUGUAGCGGUGAAAUGCGUAGAUAUAUGGAGGAACACCGGUGGCGAAAGCGGCUCUCUGGUCUGUAACUGACGCUGAGGCUCGAAAGCGUGGGGAGCGAACAGGAUUAGAUACCCUGGUAGUCCACGCCGUAAACGAUGAGUGCUAGGUGUUAGGUCCUUUCCGGGACUUAGUGCCGCAGCUAACGCAUUAAGCACUCCGCCUGGGGAGUACGACCGCAAGGUUGAAACUCAAAGGAAUUGACGGGGGCCCGCACAAGCGG